rnacentral:tRNA from 1 species
GUUCUUGUAGUUGAAUACAACGGUGGUUUUUCAAGUCACUGGUCUUGGUUAAAAUCCGAGCAGGAAUU